rnacentral:rRNA from 1 species
AACGAACGCUGGCGGCGCGCUUAACACAUGCAAGUCGAACGAGAAGGCGUAGCAAUACGCUUGUACAGUGGCGAACGGGUGAGUAAUACGUGGGCGACCUACCCUCGAGUGGGGAAUAACCCGCCGAAAGGCGGGCUAAUGCCGCGUACGCUUCCAUCUUUAUGGAGGUGGAAGGAAAGCCGUGCCGUGGGCACGGCGCUCAAGGAUGGGCUCACGUCCUAUCAGCUUGUUGGUAGGGAACGGCCCACCAAGGCUCCGACGGGUAGCUGGUCUGAGAGGACGAUCAGCCACACUGGCACUGCGACACGGGCCAGACUCCUACGGGAGGCAGCAGUGAGGAAUAUUGCGCAAUGGGCGAAAGCCUGACGCAGCGACGCCGCGUGGGGGA